CAAAGAUGGCGGACGCUUUUGCAGUACCCUGAGAAGAUUUAGAUGUGAAAGGAGAUGUUUGUUUCCUAGGAAUGCUUUGAAUUGUCUUGAAAAAAAUAUCAAAAUGGAAUCAGAGAAGAGAGGCGCCAAUCCUUCUCCAAGCAUACCACCUAUCUCUAGAGAACAAGCUUUACUGGAGACAUUUUUUCAUGCCCUCAGUCAGUUGGCCUUUGACAAGGCAAAAGAUCAAGCGGAGAAAGAGAAAGAAACAAAAAGACUGCCACUGGUAUACAGUACACCAUGGUCUUCACUGCUUGUCACCCUGUCACAUCUGGCCAUGGCGGAAAAGACAUACUUCUCUUUUCCUUUUAUUGCCAAGAAGUUCUUCAGGAAAGAUCCUGUAAGGGACAACUUCAAAACUCUGAUAAUAGAGUUCAAAAGAAUAGAAGAAACAACCCACAGUUGCACUUCCUCAGGGUCCCUGCUGGAAGGAAGUUUGUUGGCUGAGCUGUGCAGACAUUUGUGUCAAUUUUCGCAAGCUAGGCAGGAGUUAAUUGACUUGCAAUGGCAAUGAUGGGAUCAGCCACAAAUGUAAAAUACACAGACUUGUCUAACAUGACUGAUGAGAUCUGUCAAAGACACAGUAAGGGCUUCCAUCUUCCAAUUUUGGAUUCUCUUAAAUCAAGCUUCAGACUUAAGACUCUGAUAGUGGGUAAAUUGUGUGAUGUUGCUAAUAUAAGAAACACACCAGGGACAUUGUGGACUAUUCUUUUAGCAAGGAAGCGACGUUGAUCACCGCAAAAAAAGAUGAUUUUUUAUACUUUUAAGCAUUGUAUUUUCUGGUAUUAUAUUAUUAUUUCAA
rnacentral:misc_RNA from 1 species